CUUUUUUCUUAAUAACAGAAACUGUGUUGUUUGGGACAGUGAUGGCACCAGCUGGAUAUGAUUCUCAGGUUCCCUUGAAAUUAGGGAUGGCCUUAUGAUAGUUCUUGUCCAUCAGGCAUAAGCAGAAAUGUUGGCCAUUUGGGAAAAGCUUCAGUUUUAUCAGCAGAUAUACAUUCAUACUUUGAGGCGGCUGGCAAGAUGGCGGAAUAGAAACAGCUUCGGUCUGCAGCUCCCAGCGAGAUCAACCCAGAAGGCGGGUGAUUUCUGCAUUUCCAACUGAGGUACUUGCUUUGUUCUUGAGAGUUUGAAGCUUACAUUGUCUAAAAAGUUGGGAUUCAAAGUGACAGUUGAUCCUGACUCACACGUCAAAAUAAUUCAAGAGAUUUCCUUAAGCUCUAUCGUGCUUUAAAAUCAACAUGCCUGGGAAUGUAAAUUAGUAUCGUCAUUAGAGAAAACAG
rnacentral:lncRNA from 1 species